GAAAAUAGAUUGACCCCUUUCUCUUUCUGGCAGCCCCUCAAAUAUUGGAAGACUGCUAUCAUGUCUCCCCUGGACUUUCUCUUUCUCUUCACUAGACUCGCCAUGCUUAGUUCCUGUAAUGGUUCUUCAUAUGUUUUAGUUUCAGUCCCCUA